ACACCGGCGGCCCGAGUGGUGAUCGUGAUUAUUGGGUCUAAAGGGUCCGUAGCCGAUUUGGUCAGUCCUCCGGGAAAUCUGAUAGCUCAACUAUUAGGCUUUCGGGGGAUACUGCCAGACUUGGAACCGGGAGAGGUAAGAGGUACUACAGGGGCAGGAGUGAAAUCUUGUAAUCCCUGUGGGACCACCUGUGGCGAAGGCGUCUUACCAGAACGGGUUCGACGGUGAGGGACGAAAGCUGGGGGCACGAACCGGAUUAGAUACCCGGGUAGUCCCAGCCGUAAACGAUGCUCGCUAGGUGUCAGGCAUGGCGCGACCGUGUCUGGUGCCGCAGGGAAGCCGUGAAGCGAGCCACCCGGGAAGUACGGCCGCAAGGCUGAAACUCAAAUGAAUUGGCGGGG
rnacentral:rRNA from 1 species